UACGCGUUUGUAUAACUUAAAAACAUAAAUGUAAUCACAAAUACACAUUACUCUGCAACUGUCUUGUGUCGGUUGUUCAUGCCAUUAUAAAUAUAUUUCAUCUAUUUUAGCAGCUCUUCAGUGAUUCGUAGUAUGGAUGUAUUGAGCUUUAUGUAAUUCACUUGUAAUGAACAUUUAGAUAGUUUCCUAUUAAAAACCACGU
rnacentral:lncRNA from 10 species